AGUAAGGUGCCUGAUUAAAAGGGCUACUUUGAUAGAGUAGAUCAUGUAAAUUUUUACUCUUACUA
rnacentral:tRNA from 1 species